CUAUUUAUAAAAUUUUGUUCCAAUUUUAUAAAUUCAAAU
rnacentral:misc_RNA from 1 species